AUUGAACGCUGGCGGCAGGCCUAACACAUGCAAGUCGAACGCGAAAGUCACUUCGGUGGCGAGUAGAGUGGCGGACGGGUGAGUAACGCGUAGGAAUCUGCCCUGUAGUGGGGGAUAACCCGGGGAAACUCGGGCUAAUACCGCAUACGCCCCACGGGGGAAAGCGGGGGAUCCUUCGGGACCUCGCGCUAUAGGAAGAGCCUGCGUCGGAUUAGCUAGUUGGUAGGGUAAAGGCCUACCAAGGCGACGAUCCGUAGCUGGUCUGAGAGGAUGAUCAGCCACACCGGAACUGAGACACGGUCCGGACUCCUACGGGAGGCAGCAGUGGGGAAUAUUGCGCAAUGGGCGAAAGCCUGACGCAGCCAUGCCGCGUGUGUGAAGAAGG
rnacentral:rRNA from 1 species